UACGUAGGGGGCGAGCGUUGUCCGGAUUUAUUGGGCGUAAAGAGCUCGUAGGCGGUUCGGUAAGUCGGGUGUGAAAUCUCCACGCUCAACGUGGAGGGGCCACUCGAUACUGCCGUGACUCGAGUCCGGUAGAGGAGUGUGGAAUUCCCGGUGUAGCGGUGAAAUGCGCAGAUAUCAGGAAGAACACCCGUGGCUAAGGCGGCUCUCUAGUACGGUACUGACGCUGAGACGCGAAAGCGUGGGGAGCGAACAGG
rnacentral:rRNA from 1 species